rnacentral:rRNA from 1 species
AGGCAGCAUGGGGGGAAUAUUGCACAAUGGGCGCAAGCCUGAUGCAGCCAUGCCGCGUGUGUGAAGAAGGCCUCGGGUUGUUAAAGCACUUUCAGUCGUGAGGAAGGUGGUAGUGUUAAUAGCACUAUCAUUUGACGUUAGCGACAGAAGAAGCACCGGCUAACUCCGUGCCAGCAGCCGCGGUAAUACGGAGGGUGCGAGCGUUAAUCGGAAUUACUGGGCGUAAAGCGCAUGCAGGUGGUUUGUUAAGUCAGAUGUGAAAGCCCGGGGCGUCAACCUCGGAAUAGCAUUUGAAACUGGCAGACUAGAGUACUGUAGAGGGGGGUAGGAAUUUCAGGUGUAGCGGUGUAAUGCGUAGAGAUCUGAAGGAAUACCGGUGGCGAAGGCGGCCCCCUGGACAGAUACUGACACUCAGAUGCGAAAGCGUGGGGAGCAAACAGGAUUAGAUACCCCUGGUAG